rnacentral:rRNA from 1 species
GUAGGUGGCAAGCGUUGUCCGGAAUUAUUGGGCGUAAAGCGCGCGCAGGCGGUUCUUUAAGUCUGAUGUGAAAGCCCACGGGCUCAACCGUGGAGGGUCAUUGGAAACUGGAGAACUUGAGUACAGAAGAGGAAAGCGGAAUUCCACGUGUAGCGGUGAAAUGCGUAGAGAUGUGGAGGAACACCAGUGGCGAAGGCGGCUUUCUGGUCUGUAACUGACGCUGAGGCGCGAAAGCGUGGGGAGCAAACAGGAUUAGAUACCCUGGUAGCCCACGCCGUAAACGAUGAGUGCUAAGUGUUAGGGGGUUUCCGCCCCUUAGUGCUGCAGCUAACGCAUUAAGCACUCCGCCUGGGGAGUACGGCCGCAAAGGCUG